GUUUGAUAAGUCAGUGGUGAAAGUUUGCAGCUUAACUGUAAAAUUGCCAUUGAUACUGUCAGACUUGAGUACAGAUGAGGUAGGCGGAAUGUGUAGUGUAGCGGUGAAAUGCUUAGAUAUUACACAGAACACCGAUUGCGAAGGCGGCUUACCAAACUGUUACUGACGCUGAGGCACGAAAGUGUGGGGAUCAAACAGGAUUAGAUACCCUGGUAGUCCACACUGUAAACGAUGAUUACUGGAUGUUUGCGAUACACAGCAAGCGUCUCAAGCGAAAGCAUUAAGUAAUCCACCUGGGGAGUACGACCGCAAGGUUGAAACUCAAAGGAAUUGACGGGGGCCCGCACAAGCGGAGGAACAUGUGGUUUAAUUCGAUGAUACGCGAGGAACCUUACCCGGGCUCGAACGACAGGGGAAUAUGGGGGAAACUUCAUAGCCAGCAAUGGUCGCUGUCGAGGUGCUGCAUGGUUGUCGUCAGCUCGUGCCGUGAGGUGUCGGCUUAAGUGCCAUAACGAGCGCAACCCUUAUCUUUAGUUGCCAGCGGGUCAUGCCGGGGACUCUAGAGAAACUGCCAGCGUAAGCUGUGAGGAAGGUGGGGAUGACGUCAAAUCAGCACGGCCCUUACGUCCGGGGCGACACACGUGUUACAAUGGUCGGUACAGAGGGCAGCUACCUGGUGACAGGAUGCGAAUCUCUAAAGCCGAUCUCAGUUCGGAUUGGAGUCUGCAACUCGACUCCAUGAAGCUGGAUUCGCUAGUAAUCGCGCAUCAGCCAUGGCGCGGUGAAUACGUUCCCGGGCCUUGUACACACCGCCCGUCAAGCCAUGGAAGCUGGGGGUGCCUGAAGUACGUAACCGCAAGGAGCGUCCUAGGGCAAAACUGGUAACUGGGGCUAAGUCGUAACAAGGUAACC
rnacentral:rRNA from 1 species